GAAAAAGGCAAAAAUCCAUUAACAUAUAUCUCAAAUACUCAGAUUCUCAGAAUAAAAUUGUAUGAAGAGGACAAGGACAUCUGACAUAUCCCACUAAAAGCAGGACAAAGAGAAAAAGAUGAUGACAUAAUGCAUCACAUCCAAACUGCCAGUUUAGAAGACAUUCUUCAAUAAGUUUGAAACUACAUAUAUAAUCUCUUUUCCUAUAAUCUCAGGAUAUCUACGCAAAAAAAAAAAAAAAAAAAUUCUGUAGUUGAGAUUUUGUUGUUAAUAUGUGAGGAAUGAGGAAGUACUAGCAUAUGCAAACUUUUUAAGUACAUUUUAAGAAAUACACAGAGAUUUGUCCUUGAUCAAUGAUGAUGAUGAUGAUGGUAUAUUUCCUUUUCUGUAUGUUUCUUCAACCUUCAUCCAUGACCUACCUUUUUGAAUUGCUAGAAAAUAAAAGAAGUAAAACAUGUGUUCUGCCUUCUGUGGUAAACAGAUUGCUUCCACUGCCUUAAUUUUUACAUAUACAUACCAAAUGGAGAGUGUUGGAAUUUGUAACUUGAAUUUAUGAGAUCAUAGCUUUAACUAUCCAAAUUUGUGGCCAAGCAUGCAAAGUACUAAUUAGCUCUUUGAGAUGGAUGCAUCUUGUUCAGAGUACUAUAGAGAACCCUUUGUCAUUUGUAUGUAGAAUUUUGACAGUUACACUUUUGUAUUUGGGUUAAAGGUCAUGAGGAUUACUCUUUUGUUCUCUUACUCUUGUAUUACUUCUCAGUUUAUUAGUGGAUUUUCUGCUACAUAGAACAACAUAAAUUAAAUUCUUAGUUUUCACCAUGUUAUUUUCGCAUUCAUUUAGCCCAGAUAAAUAUUUUGAUUCCAUCAGCUGAUCUUUUCCAUUGCAGAGAGCAUAUGCAACUUCUACACCAGUGGUGACCUUGAAAUGGAAGAUAGGUAUUAUGCAUCUGAAAAAAACCAGUGGCCCUUAAAAUCCCAUCACAAAAUACACAAGAAACACAGAAAACACAGAUCAGAUGCUUCUGCUGCUGCUACUACCGCUGCUACUGAGGAGAUAUCAAAGGAAACAGAAUUGUAGAAGUCUAGGGAUUUGCGUUGUGAGAUGGUUCUACGCUUGUUUUGUAUUUUGUGGAAUGAUUUCAGAGGCAAAAGCAUUUCUUAUAUAUGUGGAUGUUUGGGUUUUGUUAGGGUUUAACUGCUCUCUGCACUGCAGCAGGUACUAUUCCCAAUCUCCCUUCCUUUUUUUUUCUUAGUAAUAAACUAUGUUUCUAUGUUCAUUAUAGCUG
rnacentral:misc_RNA from 1 species